CCUACGGGCGGCAGCAGUGAGGAAUAUUGGUCAAUGGCCGGAAGGCUGAACCAGCCAUGCCGCGUGAAGGUCAGUGCCCUAUGGGCGUUAAACUUCUUUUGUGCGGGAGCAAUAAUGGUCACGUGUGGCCAGACGAGAGUACCGUACGAAUAAGCAUCGGCUAACUCCGUGCCAGCAGCCGCGGUAAUACGGGGGAUGCAAGCGUUAUCCGGAUUUAUUGGGUUUAAAGGGUGCGUAGGCUGUGAGGUAAGUCAGCGGUGAAAUGCCCCCGCUCAACGGGGUGAAGUGCCAUUGAUACUGCCUGGCUGGAAUGCGGAUGCGGUGGGAGGAAUGUGUGGUGUAGCGGUGAAAUGCAUAGAUAUCACACAGAACACCGAUUGAGAAGGCAUCUCACGAAUCCGCGAUUGACGCUGAUGCACGAAAGCGUGGGUAUCAAACAGGAUUAGAUACCCUGGUAGUC
rnacentral:rRNA from 1 species